rnacentral:tRNA from 1 species
GAGGAUAUAGCCCAAUAGGCAGGAGGCAACGAACUCAAAAUUCGUACAGUGUGAGUCCGAAUCUCACUAUCCUCACCA